AUUGAACGCUGGCGGCAGGCCUAACACAUGCAAGUCGAGCGAGCGGCGGACGGGUGAGUAAUGUAUGGGGAACUGCCCGAUAGAGGGGGAUAACUACUGGAAACGGUGGCUAAUACCGCAUACUAUCGGAAGUACCCAGAUGGGAUUAGCUAGGAGGUGGUGUAACGGCUCACCAAGGCGUCGAUCUCUAGCUGGUCUGAGAGGAUGAUCAUCCACCCGGUGACUGAGACACGUCCCAGACUCCUACGGGAGGCAGCAGUGGGGAAUAUUGCACACUGGGCGCAAGCCUGCUGCAGCCAUGCCGCGUGUAUGAAGAAGGCCUUCGGGUUGUAAAGUACUUUCAGCGGGGAUGCGUUACCCGCAGAAGAAGCACCGGCUAACUCCGUGCCAGCAGCCGCGGUAAUAC
rnacentral:rRNA from 1 species